GAUGAACGCUAGCGGGAGGCUUAACACAUGCAAGUCGAGGGGCAGCAUAGGGUAGCAAUACUCUGAUGGCGACCGGCAAACGGGUGAGUAACGCGUAUGCAACCUACCCUGUACAGGGGGAUAACCCGGAGAAAUUCGGACUAAUAUCCCGUAAUAAUAUCCGGAGGCAUCUUUGGAUAUUUAAAGUUCCGACGGUACGGGAUGGGCAUGCGUAACAUUAGCUGGUUGGUAAGGUAACGGCUUACCAAGGCUAUGAUGUUUAGGGGUCCUGAGAGGGUGGUCCCCCACACUGGUACUGAGACACGGACCAGACUCCUACGGGAGGCAGCAGUGAGGAAUAUUGGUCAAUGGGCGCAAGUCUGAACCAGCCAUCCCGCGUGCAGGAAGACGGCCCUAUGGGUUGUAAACUGCUUUUCCAGGGAGAGAAACUUACGCACGUGUUGCGUGACUGACGGUACCUGGGAAUAAGCAUCGGCUAACUCCGUG
rnacentral:rRNA from 1 species